GAUGAACGCUGGCGGCGUGCCUAAUACAUGCAAGUCGAGCGAACAGACGAGGAGCUUGCUCCUCUGACGUUAGCGGCGGACGGGUGAGUAACACGUGGAUAACCUACCUAUAAGACUGGGAUAACUUCGGGAAACCGGAGCUAAUACCGGAUAAUAUAUUGAACCGCAUGGUUCAAUAGUGAAAGACGGUUUUGCUGUCACUUAUAGAUGGAUCCGCGCCGCAUUAGCUAGUUGGUAAGGUAACGGCUUACCAAGGCAACGAUGCGUAGCCGACCUGGGAGGGUUACAGGCCACACUGGAACUGAGACACGGUCCAGACUCCUACGGGAGGCAGCAGUAGGGAAUCUUCCGCAAAGGGCGAAAGCCUGACGGAGCAACGCCGCGUGAGUGAUGAAGGUCUUCGGAUCGUAAAACUCUGUUAUUAGGGAAGAACAAAUGUGUAAGUAACUAUGCACGUCUUGACGGUACCUAAUCAGAAAGCCACGGCUAACUACGUG
rnacentral:rRNA from 1 species